GCUAUCGCAUUGGGAUGAGUUUGCGUACCAUUAGCUAGUUGGUGGGGUAAGAGCCCACCAAGGCGACGAUGGUUAGCGGGUCUGAGAGGAUGAUCCGCCACACUGGCACUGGAACACGGGCCAGACUCCUACGGGAGGCAGCAGUGAGGAAUAUUGCGCAAUGGGGGCAACCCUGACGCAGCGACGCCGCGUGAGUGAGGAAGGCCUUCGGGUCGUAAAGCUCUGUCAGCAGGGAAGAAGUGCAACAUGGCUAAUAUCUGUGUUGUUUGACGGUACCUGCAAAGGAAGCACCGGCUAACUCCGUGCCAGCAGCCGCGNUAAUACGGAGGNUGCGAGCGUUGUUCGGAAUCACUGGGCGUAAAGGGCGCGCAGGCGGUCUUAUAAGUCAGAUGUGAAAGCCCACGGCUUAACCGUGGAAGAGCAUUUGAAACUGCAAGACUUGAGUACCCAGAGGGGNAAAGUGGAAUUCCCGGUGUAGAGGUGAAAUUCCGUAGAUAUCNGGGAGGAAUACC
rnacentral:rRNA from 1 species